rnacentral:rRNA from 1 species
UGGGGAAUUUUGGACAAUGGGCGAAAGCCUGAUCCAGCAAUGCCGCGUGUGUGAAGAAGGCCUUCGGGUUGUAAAGCACUUUUGUCCGGAAAGAAAUCCUUGGCUCUAAUACAGUCGGGGGAUGACGGUGCCGGAAGAGUAAGCACCGGCUAACUACGUGCCAGCAGCCGCGGUAAUACGUAGGGUGCAAGCGUUAAUCGGAAUUACUGGGCGUAAAGCGUGCGCAGGCGGUUUGCUAAGACCGAUGUGAAAUCCCCGGGCUCAACCUGGGAACUGCAUUGGUGACUGGCAGGCUAGAGUAUGGCAGAGGGGGGUAGAAUUCCACGUGUAGCAGUGAAAUGCGUAGAGAUGUGGAGGAAUACCGAUGGCGAAGGCAGCCCCCUGGACGAAGACUGACGCUCA